rnacentral:lncRNA from 1 species
UAAUUCCUUGCUGGCCACUGAUUGCAGUUCAAAGAAGAUCCUCUUGUGCCAUGAGUUCUCCAAUACUAGCUUGUGCAUCAAAACUGUUGUGUCUGGAAUCUAAUGAUUUAACUCCUCUGAAAGUUAAUUAUUGUUUUUUUCUUUUACAUUUUGAAAUCUUGGAAUGAUUGAUUCGAUAUUUUAAGUUUCAAUACAAGCUAGAGCUUUUCAACAGUAAAGCAUCUUUCUUGCAUUUCUCUGAUUGUUUUGUUAAUUAUUCAUGUGAAAUUGGUAGAUUGGGAUGACAAAGAAGAAGGCAAGAAAGUGACUCAGCAAUGGGAAGAUGACUGGGAUGAUGACGAUGUCAAUGAUGAUUUCUCCCUGCAGCUUAGGGGAGAACAACACCGAGAAGACUGAAGCCAUGUCCACAUGACACAGUUGUUGUAAGAGGAUAGAUGCUAAGUAGAUUUUCAAUCAAAACUUGGGAGUGUUUUUAUCAUAUGGCUUUCCAUUGCAUCCUUAAUUCCAGCUACUGAACUUCAUUUUGAAAUUUGC